UGGAAAGGAAGAACAAAGGAAGAAGCAGC
rnacentral:piRNA from 1 species